rnacentral:lncRNA from 1 species
GUGAAAUUCUCUAUUACAUGUAUUAAUACAAGCAAAAUAGCGAACUCGAUCAGGCAGCUCAUUUCUAAAUAAACUGAUCAGAUUAAUCUCAGAAGAACUGCAGAUAAAUCCAGAUUCAAUGUCCACUAAACUGGAAAAUUUGCAUUUAAACACUUCCAAAACUUUAAUGUCUGUAAAUUUGGCUUUCUGUGUGUUGUAUUAUGGGUUGUAUUAUUGUGUGUGUGUGAGAUUGUGUUGUAAUGUGUCUCAGGGCUCUGACGUGUCUGAGGCCGAUCCUGCCGCUCUGCUCGACAGCAUGAAGAACAUGGAUGACAUGGAUGCAGAGCUGUUCGGCUCGCAGAAGAAGCCAAGCUCAGCUCCUGUUCAGAGGAAGGACUCCAAAAGAACAGGGUCUUCUAAAGCAGGAGACAAGAGCAAAACCACAGAGGAGAUGGUUCCUGAGGUGAAAAAGCCCAGUUCUGCUCCGGCCUCCACAACCAGAACUUACAAGAAGUUCAGCUUUCUGGAUAAAGUGGACGAUUCGUUAGAUGAUUUAUUGGAUGACCUGGAACACAAGCAGAAGACGACAACGGAGAAAAAGAAAAGUGAGCCGCCGUCCUCUUCCUCUCCAGCCGCUCCUCAGAAAACAGAGACGGGUGAGAAAACGGUGACGUCUUAAGAGAUCUGGCUCACUAUAACUGAAGAUAAACCCAGCGGUCGCUCUGUGACGUCUCUCUCCGUUUUAUAUGCGUUUUAGCAGCAUCUCCAGCAGCCGCUGUGAAGAAGAGGGAAGAUCUGAUGUUUGAAGAUGGUGAAGAUGAUCUGAUGGACGCUCUGGGUUUUGGAGAAACACACAAAACACAAGGAAACGGAAAGACA